CCUACGGGAGGCAGCAGUGAGGAAUAUUGGUCAAUGGGCGCGAGCCUGAACCAGCCAAGUCGCGUGAGGGAAGACGGUCCUAUGGAUUGUAAACCUCUUUUGUCGGGGAGCAAAAGCAGCCACGCGUGGCGUUCCGAGAGUACCCGAAGAAAAAGCAUCGGCUAAGUCCGGGCCAGCAGCGGCGGUAAUACGGAGGAUGCGGGAGUUAUCCGGAUAUAUUGGGGUAAAAGGGGGCGCAGGCGGAAGAUCAAGUCAGUGGUAAAAUUGAGGGGCUCAACCUCUUCGAGCCGUUGAAACUGGUUUUCUUGAGUGAGCGAGAAGUAUGCGGAAUGCGAGGUGUAGCCGUGAAAUGCAUAGAUAUCACGCAGAACUCCGAUUGCGAAGGCAGCAUACCGGCGCUCAACUGACGCUCAUGCACGAAAGUGUGGGUAUCGAACAGGAUUAGAUACCCCAGUAGUC
rnacentral:rRNA from 1 species